UUUUUCCUCUUUUUCUUUUUGAGAUCUUGCAAAUCUUUUGGGAAAAGGGUAAGGUACCUUGAAUUUUUCUGCUGGUUGCUGUUUCUGCCUUUGACUGGAUUCUGCCUGAUCUGUUGAUUUGGGCAGAUCACUUUCUGCCUUCUCUGGUGAUUUGGGCAGAUCACUGCUGGGCAGCUCAGUCUGCCUAGCGAUUGGGUCAGUGAUUUGGGCAAAUCGACUGCCCUGAUCACUUUCUGGCAGAAUUUCUUCCAUGGCCUGUUUUUGCAAUUUUUCAACCUUGCUGUCUUGUAGCUCUUUUCCACUCCUCAAUGUGAUGGCACUAGCAUUUUGCCUUGGAUUUAUCUC
rnacentral:lncRNA from 1 species